GACGAACGCUGGCGGCGUGCUUAACACAUGCAAGUCGAACGGAAAGGCCCCUUCGGGGGUCCUCGCGUUGCGCACGGGUGAGUAACACGUGCGUAACCUUCCCUUGACUUCGGGAUAACUUCAGGAAACUGGGGCUAAUACCGGAUAGGAAUCCUUGCUGCAUGGUGGGGGUUGGAAAGCUUCGGCGGUUUUGGAUUGACUCGCGGCUUAUCAGCUUGUUUGUGGGGUAGUGGAUUACCAAGGCUUUGACGGGUAGCCGGACUGAGAGGGCGACCGGCCACAUUGGGACUGAGGUAAGGCACAGACUGCUACGGGAGGGAGAAGUGGGGAAGAUUGAAGAAUGGGCGGAAGCCGGAUGAAGCAAGGCCGCGUGCGGGAUGGCGGCCUUCGGGUUGUAAACCGCUUUCAGCAGGGGCGAAGCGUGUGGUGACGGUACCUGAAGAAGAAGCACCGGCUAACUACGUG
rnacentral:rRNA from 1 species